rnacentral:rRNA from 1 species
GAUGAACGCUGGCGGCGCGCCUAACACAUGCAAGUCGAACGGCACCCCUCUCCGGAGGGAAGCGAGUGGCGAACGGCUGAGUAACACGUGGAGAACCUGCCCCCUCCCCCGGGAUAGCCGCCCGAAAGGACGGGUAAUACCGGAUACCCCGGGGUGCCGCAUGGCACCCCGGCUAAAGUCCCGACGGGAGGGGAUGGCUCCGCGGCCCAUCAGGUAGACGGCGGGGUGACGGCCCACCGUGCCGACAACGGGUAGCCGGGUUGAGAGACCGACCGGCCAGAUUGGGACUGAGACACGGCCCAGACUCCUACGGGAGGCAGCAGUGGGGAAUCUUGCGCAAUGGGGGGAACCCUGACGCAGCGACGCCGCGUGCGGGACGGAGGCCUUCGGGUCGUAAACCGCUUUCAGCAGGGAAGAGUCAAGACUGUACCUGCAGAAGAAG